AGUGGGACAUUCCUGUGUGGAGCUCCGAGAAUACAUGCCGGCACUGCCUGUGCCUGGGGCUGUGCUGGCUCCCACCCAGCUGCAGGAAUGAGGGACCACGCCCUGCUUUCUCUACCUCCAGUCGUUUUCUGAGGACCGGCUUGGUGGGUGCUGAUGCCUGCCUGGAAGACCUCACACCCACAGUGUCUUAGAAGAUUCUGAAAGCAGUGUGAGACCAGAAUGACCAGCAAAGGAGAAAAGAACAAGGACACAUUGCAGCCAAAAUGGAGCUAGAAUCUUGCCUCUGUCCAUCCUUCACUGGAGUUAUCCUGGAUGGAGAAGGAACCAUAUCACCUGCAAAGCCUGGAAGGGGAGCCCUGCUGUGAGAUGGAGAGGCUGACCCCAGACUUCCUUGGGCAGGUUACACCACAGCCGUGCAUUUGUUUCUAGCUACGCAGUUAAUGGGACAUGGAAGAACCAGACCUGCCUGAGUACCUAACAUGGCAAAGGGCCUUCGGAACAUGAAGAAUAGCAGAGAUAAGAAUGUUAAGCUUAGAAAAGACUUGAGGACUUUAAAGCUGCUUUCCUAUUUGAAAGGCUGUCUCAUGGAAAAGAGAUUGGACUUGUGUAUGUGUGUGUGUUUGGUGGGGGGCUUCGAGGGUUUGAACAAGGACCAGUGGAACACGGGUCAGAUUGGUAGAAGGAAGUUUCACUAAAAACCAAUUGGAGAGGCAGUAGUGUGGACAGGAACGCAGAGUCUGGAGUCAGACUAUUUGUCUCCAAAUCCUACUUUCUGUGCCUCUUACCUUGUCUGUGAAGGCGAGAUUAAAAAGUUGUACUUAUCUCAAAAAGUUGUUGUGAGGAAUAAGUAAAUUAAUAUGGGUAAAAUGCUUUAAAUAGCUUGGUUCAUGCUAAGUACUCAAUAAAUGUGAGGUGGAAAUGGAAACAUCUAUGAUUUGAUAAAUAAAGGCAGCAAGAUUCAAAU
rnacentral:lncRNA from 10 species